rnacentral:rRNA from 1 species
UCGGGUGGCCAUGGCGAGGGGGAAACACCCGUUCCCAUCCCGAACACGGCAGUUAAGCCCCUCAGCGCCG